UUCAAGGGCGAAAAGAGGUCAAAGUUAUACCAGCAAGAAGAAAGAUAAUUGUAACAGCGCAGUUUUGAAACAACCUCUGAACAGUUAGGAUGUCUUUCGUGUGGAGGAUUUUUCUUCUUCUACUAGGCUUGGCAAUGAUUCUGACCAUCACCACAGGCCAAACAAAUUCUUCUGAUUCUCAGCAGCCCGAAGUGGUACAUAUUGAUUCGUUUGCAUCGGCACCUAUACGCGUUUGCGAGGACGAUGAAAUACUGAUUCGAGGCAAGUGCAGAAAGAAAAAGAAGGUCAUAUAAUCUGUCUGUAUGAACUGACAAAAAUUCAUAGAAAAUAUUUCUAAAAAAAAUUUCUUGAUAGUGUGUGUACUGUGUGUACAGAAGAAAAAUAAACAAAAAAAAUUUAAAAUGAAACUGACAACGUUUUUUAGUAAUAAAUUGCACAUAUUUAGACAUAAGUAUUCAAUAAUUCAACUCUCCAUAUUUUUUACAAAAUAUUAUUUAUUACCCAAAGAGGGUAGUUUGAAGAUCAUGAUUACAACAAAAUAUAAAAUGUUUUAGCAAAAUUGCCGAAAAAAAAGAAAAAUAAUAUACAAUUUAUUUCAGAAGGUGUUUAACUUUUAGUUAAAAUAUUAAAUUAUUUAUAAUUAAAACAACAUCUCAUAUGAGGGGGUAUAGAGGUCAAAUCUUGUAUCCAAGAACGAUAAUGUUGAAAGCCGUCGCAGAUCUGAAACGACCACUCGACAGUUAAAAUGUCUUUCGUAUGGAGGAUUGUUCUUCUCUUACUUGGAUUGGCGAUUCUUCUGACCAUGAGUAGCGGCAAAAGUAAUGAUACCGUCGUGGAUGGCAAAAAAUAUAAAUUGAAGAAAAUACUUUCAAGCGCACCUCUGCGCGCUUGCAAAGACGACGAAGUAUUGCUGCGAGGCAAGUGCAGGAAGCAAUCUAAAGUUAUUUAAUUUUACAUAAGCACAAACUCACUUAGUUCUUUUUUUAAAAUUACAACCGAGAAUUAUGCAUAUUAUAUCUACAAUAAAAUCUGCUUGAUAUUAAACGUA